rnacentral:rRNA from 1 species
UACAUGGGGUGCAAACGUUGCUCGGAAUCACUGGGCGUAAAGGGCGCGUAGGCGGGAUGGCAAGUCGGUCGUGAAAUCCUUCGGCUCAACCGAAGAACGUCGGCCGAUACUGCCGUUCUUGAGGGAUGCAGAGGAGAUUGGAAUUCCCGGUGUAGCGGUGAAAUGUGUAGAGAUCGGGAGGAACACCGGUGGCGAAGGCGGGUCUCUGGGCAUCUCCUGACGCUGAGGCGCGAAAGCGUGGGGAGCAAACGGG